AUGAGCAAGAGGCCGGUGGACGCGGGCGGCGAGCGGCCGCCGAGCCGUGGCCGCGCGGCGCCGCGGUCGGCUCGCCACCACGGUGCGACCGCGCAGAGGGAGGCGGAGGCGGCGGCGGCCGCCGCGGCGGUGGCGGCCGCGCUGCGCGACGAUGCUGCCGUGAGCAGCAGGGCGGCCAUGGCGGCUCGCCCCAGGCGUGGGCCCAACGAGUACGUCUCCUACCGCCAGCCCGGACCGAGCGAGGCGUCGAUGCAUCACCAUCCCGGCGACGAGCGCUUCCCCGGCGGGCCGAGCCACGGCGACGGCGAAAUCCAGGAGGUUGACGAGCCGGCGCAGCCGCCCCGCGGCGGCGGCGGGCCCUACUACAUGGCGCCGUGGCAGAGGCGGGGCCGCCCGCCGCCGCAGCCGCUGCCGCCGGUGGCGGUCGACGAGCCGCGGUACCGGUACGAGCGCGUCCCGGGGGAGCAGAGGAUGAGGAUCCCGGGGCCGGUCCAGGCGCCGCCGAUGGGCCCGCGCCCGACCGGCAACGGCGGCUACCGGACCAACACCACGAGGGUCGAGCGCGUCACAACGAUCAAGCAAGACGACGGCGGCGCGCCUUACCAACCGGGCGCGCCGGUGCCGGGGAACGGGAGCCCACAGCAGCAGCAGCAGCAGCAGCACCAUGAUCACCAGGGGUCGACGUCGCACACGCCGCCGGGACGUCACCGCCAUCCGCGGACACCGAGGAGGACCCCGGCAGGCUCUCCGGGGGGCUACGUCUCGCCGGACCGCGGCAGGGAGAAGCGCAGGCAGCUGCCGGCCUUCUGCUUCACCCUCUGCUGCAUCCUGUUCUGGCUGGCGGUGGUGGUCGUCGGCGUGGCCGUGCUCACCGUGUACCUCUACUACCGCCCGCAGCCGCCGAAGCUCCGGGUGACCGACGCGUCCCUGAACGCCGGGUACGUGGACGAGCUGACCGUCCCCGGCGGCCCGGCCCGCGGCCUCGCGCUCAACGCCGACCUCACCGUGCUGGUCGCCAUCACGAGCCCCAACACAAGGGUGAAGAUGGUCCUCUGGUACAUGCAGCUGGACCUGUACUUCGAGGGCCACAGGAUCGGCACUUCGACGGUGCUGCCGGCGCCGCUGUUCGAGGAGCCCCGCACCUACGCGCUCCGGACCGUGGACUUCGUCGUCAGCGAGGCGCCACUGUCGCGGGAGGACGCCAUCGCGUGGAGGAACGGGACGGUGGCGGGCGGGCCCGUGAAGCUCAAGCUCGUCGGGAAGUUCCACACGCAGCUCAACUUCGGGCGGUGGCUGCCGUACAAGUACUGGGUGUACCCGCGCUGCACCCUCUGGAUGGACCCGCCGCCCAACGGCGGGCUGGUUCGGGCACGCUGCUGA
rnacentral:rRNA from 1 species